rnacentral:rRNA from 1 species
CAUGGUUGUCGUCAGCUCGUGUCGUGAGAUGUUGGGUUAAGUCCCGCAACGAGCGCAACCCUUGUGUUAGUUGCAAACAGGUCAAGCUGUGCACUCUAGACAAACUGCCGUGGACAACACGGAGGAAGGUGGGGAUGACGUCAAAUCAUCAUGCCCCUUAUGAUCUGGGCUACACACGUGCUACAAUGGCCGGUACAACGGGCAGCGAAGGAGCGAUCCGGAAGCGAAUCCUAAAAAGCCGGUCCCAGUUCGGAUUGCAGGCUGAAACUCGCCUACAUGAAGUUGGAGUUGCUAGUAAUCGCGAAUCAGAAUGUCGCGGUGAAUGCGUUCCCGGGUCUU